rnacentral:rRNA from 1 species
CUACGUGCCAGCAGCCGCGGUAAUACGGAAGGUCCAGGCGUUAUCCGGAUUUAUUGGGUUUAAAGGGAGCGUAGGCCGUGGAUUAAGCGUGUUGUGAAAUGUAGACGCUCAACGUCUGAAUUGCAGCGCGAACUGGUUCACUUGAGUAUGCACAACGUAGGCGGAAUUCGUCGUGUAGCGGUGAAAUGCUUAGAUAUGACGAAGAACUCCGAUUGCGAAGGCAGCUUACGGGAGCACAACUGACGCUGAAGCUCGAAGGUGCGGGUAUCAAACAGGAUUAGAUACCCUGGUAGUCCGCACAGUAAACGAUGGAUGCCCGCUGUUGGUACCUGGUAUCAGCGGCUAAGCGAAAGCAUUAAGCAUCCCACCUGGGGAGUACGCCGGCAACGGUGAAACUCAAAGGAAUUGACGGGGGCCCGCACAAGCGGAGGAACAUGUGGUUUAAUUCGAUGAUACGCGAGGAACCUUACCCGGGCUUGA